rnacentral:rRNA from 1 species
GUGAGGAAUAUUGGUUAAUGGAGGCAACUCCGAACCAGCCCUGCCGCGUGCAGGAAGACGGUCCUAUGGAUUGUAAACUGCUUUUAUUUAGGAAUAAACUCCCGGUCGUGCACCGGGGCUGAAUGUACUAAAAGAAUAAGCACCGGCUAACACCGUGCCAGCAGCCGCGAUAAAACGGAGGGUGCAAGCGUUAUCUGGAAUCAUUGGUUCUAAAGGGUCCGCAGAUGGUUAAAUAAGUCAGAGGUGAAAUCCGGCAGCUUAACUGUCUCACUGCCUUUGAUACUGUUUAUCUUGAAUUUUAGUGGAGUGGGCGGAAUAUGUCAUGUAGCGGUGAAAUGCUUAGAUAUGACGUGGAACACCGAUAGCGAAGGCAGCUCACUAACUAUGAAUUGACGCUCAUGGACGAAAGCGUGGGUAGCAAACAGGAUUAGAAACCCCAGUAGUCC